rnacentral:misc_RNA from 1 species
GUAGGUGAACCUGCGGAAGGAUCAUUAGAAAGUUUGACGUCGAGAGGCGUCCCACCUUCAAACCACUGUGAAACCACCCGUUGCUUCGGCGGCACCGGUGCCUCCUGGCGCCGUGGUCAGCCCGCCCGAGGCUACAAACCAAACCAUUUUUUCUGUAACCGUAGUCUGAUAACCAAAGAUUUAAUUCGUUAAAACUUUCAACAACGGAUCUCUUGGUUCUC